AGCGAACGCUGGCGGCAUGCCUAACACAUGCAAGUCGCACGGGGGGGCUUCGGCCUCCCAGUGGCGGACGGGUGAGGAACGCGUAGGGACCUGUCGAGGGGUGGGGGAUAACCGCGGGAAACUGCGGCUAAUACCGCAUGACGCCGCGGCGUGACAGCCGGGGCCAAAGGCGAAAGCCGCCCGCCGAGGGGCCUGCGUCCGAUUAGCUGGUUGGCGGGGUAGCGGCCCACCAAGGCGUCGAUCGGUAGCUGGUCUGAGAGGGUGAUCAGCCACACCGGGACUGAGACACGGCCCGGACUCCUACGGGAGGUAGCAGUGGGGAAUAUUGGACAAUGGGCGCAAGCCUGAUCCAGCAAUGCCGCGUGGGUGAAGAAGGUCUUCGGAUUGUAAAGCCCUUUCGGCGGGGACGAUGGUGACGGUACCCGCAGAAGAAGCCCCGGCUAACUUCGUG
rnacentral:rRNA from 1 species